rnacentral:rRNA from 1 species
GUCCACGCCCUAAACGAUGUCUACUAGUUGUCGGGUCUUAAUUGACUUGGUAACGCAGCUAACGCGUGAAGUAGACCGCCUGGGGAGUACGGUCGCAAGAUUAAAACUCAAAGGAAUUGACGGGGACCCGCACAAGCGGUGGGUGAUGUGGAUUAAUUCGAUGCAACGCGAAAAACCUUACCUACCCUUGACAUGGCUGGAAUCCCUGAGAGAUCGGGGAGUGCUCGAAAGAGAACCAGUACACAGGUGAUGCAUGGCUGUCGU